UGGUGGUGGUGGAAGCAGCAGAGGCCGAAGGCAAAGAAGGGGAGAAGAUGUUAUCCAUCCCCUCAAGGUCUCCUUGGAAGAUCUCUACAAUGGUACUUCGAAGAAGCUCUCUCUUUCACGCAACGUAAUCUGCUCAAAGUGCAAGGGUAAGGGUUCUAAAUCUGGUGCUUCAAUGAAAUGCCCGGGCUGUCAAGGAUCUGGUAUGAAAGUUUCCAUCAGACACCUUGGCCCCUCUAUGAUACAACAAAUGCAGCAUCCUUGCAAUGAAUGCAAAGGAACUGGUGAAACCAUCAAUGAUAAAGAUCGUUGCUCACAGUGCAAGGGUGAAAAGGUUGUUCAGGAGAA
rnacentral:misc_RNA from 1 species